UACGUAGGGUGCGAGCGUUGUCCGGAAUUAUUGGGCGUAAAGAGCUCGUAGGCGGCUUGUCGCGUCGUUCGUGAAAACCCGGGGCUCAACUCCGGGCUUGCGGGCGAUACGGGCAGGCUAGAGUUCGGUAGGGGAGACUGGAAUUCCUGGUGUAGCGGUGAAAUGCGCAGAUAUCAGGAGGAACACCGGGUGGCGAAGGCGGGUCUCUGGGCCGAUACUGACGCUGAGGAGCGAAAGCGUGGGGAGCGAACAGG
rnacentral:rRNA from 1 species